UGCGUGUACAUUAAGUUAUUAAUUAUUUACAAAGGUUUUUAUAUUUUCUCUUCGUAAAAUUGAUACAAGAGCUUAUUUUAAUAUGUUACGCGUAUAUGACUGUAUGUGACUACAUUCGUCCAACAAUUCAAGUUACAAUGGGUAACUAUGUAACGGUACACAACAACAAAUCCACGUGGUAAACGCUUCAGUGUGGAAGAAUUGGAACCAAAGUUUUCAAAUACAGGUCACGGCAAAAGAAUAGCACACUUUGUACAUUUUAUAAUACAUAUUCAUGAGAAAGCAUAGAAAUAUGUUGAUUUCUAUUCAUAUAUUUCUUUAGCUGUUGUUUACUUGUGAAUCUGAGUGACUGUAACAUGUAAACAUUGUCCCUCUAUUCUUGGAAUUGUUGCGGUUGCACGUUUCAUUACCGACUAGUCCGACAAAAUCUGUAAUACCACACAUAUAUUUUCAUUUCUCAGUUGAACACGAGUAAAUGGCAGUGAAUAAAUGUUUAAAACACAGUGUAGUACACUUAGUAUAAUGUACUCCAAAUAUUUAUGAAAAUAUGAUUAGUUGUAGGAAAAAGCUAACAGAUGCUGAAUUACAAACAAUUUUAAUAUUAUUAAAAAAGAAAUAUUCUAUUUCGCAAAGUUAUUGGGAAAAGAAACGUCCAGGACGACCUAAAGCAUUAACAACACGCGAUAAAUGUGCUAUUAUAAGAGUGACAUCAAGUGCCUCGAUGACUGCAGAGGGUAUUGCUGAAGUUUUUAGGAUAAAAACGAAUGUAACAGAUGUGCAACGUAUCCUGCAACAGUGUAAACAUUUGCAACGAAAAAAUCUGCAAAAGAAACCUCUUUUUACGGAGGCAUAUAAAGGUUGCAAAAAAUAUUAUUAUAAACCAUUUAUGCAAGUUGCGAGAGCUAAAUCAGUCCUAUUCAGAGCAUUUUUGAAAACUGCUCUGAAUGUGCUGUAGGGAAAUCUCACAAAUGGGAUUGUGGAUGAGGCUACUCGGCAACACAUUCCAGAGCAGUCUCUGAAAAUGCUCUCUCUCUAUCAUGUGUAGUUAAUUCAGAGCCCUGUUUUAGAGUCUAUCACCUAUCACCAUGAGUUAUGAUAUGUAGUUUUGCUUACAGUUGAGUCCGUCAUUACGCUUUGCACUUUGAACGUUUGUCAGGUUAAAUAACGCUACUUUUGGUUUACAGUAGUGAGACUUACUCCCACAUCCCCACCAUUUUACUGCGCAUCCAAUCCGCAGUGGACUCUGUCUCAACAGUGAAUCGUCAACCAAUCAGAACCAAGAAAAUUUCUAUAUCGAACCUUGUUAAUAGAUCAAGCUGUGUCCUGGAGGUAUACAAGAGUAGGACUCAUUACUGAACUUGAACACGCUAUUGUCUCAUUGACACCCAAUUUAACGCGCUAAUCCAUUUAUCCGCGUACAUAAGUUUUCUUCACCGGUUUAAAUUCGACCAAUUGCAGUGUAGUAUCGUCGUCAAGUUUAUUGUUGAUCUGUAAGGUAUCCUUAUCAUAUCAUCAUUAAGCAGAAAAUUAGUGAUUUUUGAAGAUAGUUAUAAUUAAGGAUUGUACAAGAUAACGUGUGAUUAUAAGAAGCAAUUCUGAAGAGAUUCAGAUUUAUCCUAUGGCUCAUGGAAGACACAGAAAAUGAUCACCAAUCUGUGCAUAUGACUGGCAAAGCAUUUAUAUUUCCUGUUUUAACGAACACGAAAUUUCGUUCCAGAGCGUCUGCGAAUGUCGUAAAACGAUAUCAACUUGGUUCGCACGAGUAUGCUAACAGGAAAUCUAAAAAUGAUUACAGUAUGGAUAGGAGGGUGAGUCAGUUGUAUGUUUUGGAAAGAGAAAUGAAGGAAUAUAUAUUUGCCUUUCGGGGGUUACAUAAAUGGUAUUAUCUAGAGAUGUGUAGCUGUUCUAUAAAUACGAGAUAGAGCCACCGGCGUUUUCUAUAACGAAUGAAAAAGAAAUUCAAUUCAAAUACAAAUACAUACAUACACUGUAAGCAGAUGGGGAAUUAUACACGAAUAAAUAUUUAAACAACUACUAUUAUUACGGCAGCGAGUACAGUGACCAAUUAACAAUACGUAUAUAUUAUAAUUUACAUAAUCAUAUAUACGGUAAUAUACACAACAAUUUACUACCUCUGCAGUAUUAACCUGAGAAUAAAUAACCUCAAAAUGAAGAAUCUGAAAAUCUUAAUUAAAAAGGGUUAUUAGUUUCAGAUUAUUCUUCAAAAUGAAUGAACACAGUUCGAGAUUCGUACUAUAAACUCAUGUUUUCAUCCCAUUUAGCCGGUAACUGCAUCCUCUACCUUUACCACCUUGUUAGGGGGUCAAGCCCUUUAAUGUUUGUCGCUAUCCCUGCAUUUUGCGUAUGCAGGCGACAAUGUCUUCUCUUACAAAGAAAAACAAAAUCCCAAUUCGAGAUUCGUACUAUAAACCCAUGUAUCCGUCUCGAAUUGCCGGUAACUGUGUCUUCUACUUUUAUCAUCUCGCUAGGGAGUCUAGACCCAUAAGUAUUUUUCCGCUAUGUUGAUUGGCGUUGGACGUACCUUGCUUACAGCAUCAAGAUUUCUCUACAAGGGACGCCACUGUUGCUGGACUAGUUGCACAUGUUGAUAAUUAGUGUUUUAGGUACAAUUUUAUAAUAUAAGUCUUUAACCGCAAAAUAAAAAUUGAUGACGACCAGAA